GAAAACUUAAAAACUGCUGUUGAAUUAAAAAAUGAACGCGCAAGAUUUGUCCACGUCAUCACGAGCAAAAUUUUUACUCACAGAUUUACUCAUGAGUAAAAAAUUUACUGAGUAAAAUUUUUACUCGUGAUGACGUGGACGAAUCUUAGAAGUCCAUUUUUCGAUCCAACGGCAGUUUUCAAGUUUCU
rnacentral:pre_miRNA from 1 species